rnacentral:lncRNA from 1 species
CUUAAGGUUUCUAACGAUCUUCUUUACUUGUUCAUUACAUUCUAAAAUUAAAAUCCUACACAAAUUGCAAAAACUUUUAUUCUCCGGCUAGACUGCGUAAAAGAUGAAUACUGUUUUGUUUGUGUACACACCAUGUUUUGAAGGCCGAUAUCCAGUUUCGCUAAAAAAGAAUUAUUUGAGCCACAACUUAAUUACGCCAAUUCUUUUUUGCAUCACUUUAUUGUAAAAACUGCAGCAUUUAUUUGUGCCAAUAAAACAAUCAUUUAAUUGCGC